UACGGGGGGUGCGAGCGUUGUCCGGAUUCACUGGGCGUAAAGGGCGCGCAGGCGGCCACGCACGUCCGUUGUGAAAUCGCCCGGCUCAACUGGGCGGGGUCGGCGGAUACGGCGUGGCUGGAGCAAGCUAGGGGGUAGUGGAAUUCCCGGUGUAGUGGUGGAAUGCGUAGAUAUCGGGAGGAACACCAGUGGCGAAGGCGGCUACCUGGGGCUUUGCUGACGCUGAGGCGCGAAAGCGUGGGGAGCGAUCCGG
rnacentral:rRNA from 1 species